UCGGGAAUUUUGGGCAAUGGGGGAAACCCUGACCCAGCAACGCCGCGUGAAGGAUGAAGUAUUUCGGUAUGUAAACUUCGAAAGAAUAGGAAGAAUAAAUGACGGUACUAUUUAUAAGGUCCGGCUAACUACGUGCCAGCAGCCGCGGUAAUACGUAGGGACCAAGCGUUGUUCGGAUUUACUGGGCGUAAAGGGCGCGUAGGCGGCAUGACAAGUCACUUGUGAAAUCUCUGGGCUUAACCCAGAACGGCCAAGUGAUACUGUCGCGCUAGAGUGCAGAAGGGGCAAUCGGAAUUCUUGGUGUAGCGGUGAAAUGCGUAGAUAUCAAGAGGAACACCUGAGGUGAAGACGGGUUGCUGGGCUGACACUGACGCUGAGGCGCGAAAGCCAGGGGAGCAAACGGGGAUUAGAUACCCCAGUAGUCCCUGAGCGGGCUGGCAAGGCG
rnacentral:rRNA from 1 species